rnacentral:rRNA from 1 species
GAUGAACGCUAGCGGCAGGCUUAAUACAUGCAAGUCGAGGGGUAGCAAGAUUGUAGCAAUACAAUUGUUGACGACCGGCAAACGGGUGCGGAACACGUACACAACCUUCCUACAAGUGGGGAAUAGCCCAGAGAAAUUUGGAUUAAUACCCCGUAACAUAGCGAUGUGGCAUCACAUUGCUAUUAUAGCUUCGGCGCUUGUUGAUGGGUGUGCGGCUGAUUAGAUAGUUGGCGGGGUAACGGCCCACCAAGUCUACGAUCAGUAGCUGAUGUGAGAGCAUGAUCAUCAAAACGGGGACUGAGACACGGGCCCGACUCCUACGGGAGGCAGCAGUAAGGAAUAUUGGACAAUGGACGUAAGUCUGAUCCAGCCAUGCCGCGUGAAGGAUUAAGGUCCUCUGGAUUGUAAACUUCUUUUAUAAGGGACGAAAAAAGGUCUUUCUAGAUCGUCUGACGGUACCUUAUGAAUAAGCACCGGCUAACUCCGUGCCAGCAGCCGCAGUAACAC